GGGGAAUUUUCCGCAAUGGGCGAAAGCCUGACGGAGCAACGCCGCGUGUGGGAAGAAGGCCUUUGGGCUGUCAACCACUUUUCUCAGGGAAGAAGCUCUGACGGUACCUGAGGAAUCAGCCUCGGCUAACUCCGUGCCAGCAGCCGCGGUAAUACGGAGGAGGCAAGCGUUAUUCGGAAUUAUUGGGCGUAAAGCGUCCGCAGGGGGCUCAUCAAGUCUGCUGUCAAAGGUCGGAGCUCAACUCCGGUUCGGCAGUGGAAACUGGUGGGCUAGAGGGCGACAGGGGUAGAGGGAAUUCCCAGUGUAGCGGUGAAAUGCGUAGAGAUUGGGAAGAACACCGGUGGCGAAAGCGCUCUACUGGGUCGCACCUGACCCUCAGGGACGAAAGCUAAGGUAGCGAAAGGGAUUAGAUA
rnacentral:rRNA from 1 species